UCCGUAGGUGAACCUGCGGAGGGAUCAUUACAGAGUUACAAACUCCAACCCUUGUGAACCUUACCUUUAUCGUUGCCUCGGCGUCCGCCGCCGCGCCCUCACAGCGGGGAGCGGCGACGCCGUCGGGGGUAUAAAACUCUGAUUUUUAGUGUAUCUCUGAGCUUAAAACAAAUAAAUCAAAACUUUCAACAACGGAUCUCUUGGUUCUGGCAUCGAUGAAGAACGCAGCGAAAUGCGAUAAGUAAUGUGAAUUGCAGAAUUCAGUGAAUCAUCGAAUCUUUGAACGCACAUUGCGCCCGCCGGUACUCCGGCGGGCAUGCCUGUUCGAGCGUCAUUUCAACCCUCAAGCCCAGCUUGGUGUUGGGGCGGCCGGGCCCUCCGCGGCCCCGCGCCCCCAAGUCGAUCGGCGGGCUCGUCGGACUCUGAGCGCAGUAACUCGCGGUAAAACGCGCCUCGCUCGGCAGGUUCAGGCGGGUUCCAGCCGCUAAACCCCCAAUUAUCAAAAGGUUGACCUCGGAUCAGGUAGGAAUACCCGCUGAACUUAACGCAUAUCA
rnacentral:rRNA from 1 species